AUUUAUAUAGUUUAAUAUAAAACAUUACAUUUUCAUUGUAAAAAUAAAAAUUUAUAAUUUUUUUUAUAAAUA
rnacentral:tRNA from 1 species